AGAUGAACCCUAAAAAGAUUCCACAAGCA
rnacentral:tRNA from 1 species